AUGAAAGCUAUGUUAACAGAGUCACAGAUGUGAAGUAUAGUACUGUACAGAAGGAGUUCUUGACUCCUGAUUACUCAGUAAUGGAUGCUGAUUUUCAAGAGUACUCCAAAAUAGGAGGUGUGAAACGGGAGAGAGAAUGUGUGAUGUGCCUUUCAGAGGAGAUGUCGGUAGUUUUCCUCCCAUGUGCCCAUCAAGUAGUUUGCACAACAUGUAAUGAGCUCCAUGA
rnacentral:misc_RNA from 1 species